AGAAUUCAUUAGUGAUUCAGGCAUAACACAUGCAAGUCGAGCGGGGUUUUUGGACAUAGCGGAGGACGGGUGAGUAAUGUGUAGGAAGCUGCCUGAUAGAGGGGGAUACCAGUUGGAACCGACUGUUAAUACCGCAUAAUGUCUACGGAGCAAAGUGUGGGACCUUCGGGCCACAUGUUAUCGGAUGGGCCUGCGUGGGAUUAGUUAGUUGGUGAGGUAAUGGCUCAGCAAGGAGACGAUCCCUAGUUGGUUCGAGAGGAUGAUCAACCACACUGGAUCUGAGGCACGGUCUAGACCCCUACGGGAGGCAGCAGUGGGGAAUAUUGGACAAUGGGCGCAAGCCUGAU
rnacentral:rRNA from 1 species